GGGCGCGUAGCUCAGGGGAUAGAGCACCAGAUUCCGGUUCUGGGUGUCGAAGGUUCAAAUCCUUCCGUGCCCG
rnacentral:tRNA from 1 species